rnacentral:sRNA from 1 species
GUCGUGAGAUGUUGGGUUAAGUCCCGCAACGAGCGCAACCCCUGUCGUCAGUUGCUAACAGGAAAGCUGAGCACUCUGGCGAGACUGCCGACGUUAAGUCGGAGGAAGGUGGGGAUGACGUCAAGUCCUCAUGGCCCUUAUGCCCAGGGCUACACACGUGCUACAAUGGCCGGUACAAAGGGUUGCGACAACGCAAGUUGAAGCCAAUCUCAAAAAACCUGCCUCAGUUCAGAUUGGAGUCUGCAACUCGACUCCAUGAAGUUGGAAUCGCUAGUAAUCCCGGAUCAGCACGCCGGGGUGAAUACGUUCCCGGGCCUUGUACACACCGCCCGUCACACCAUGGGAGUCAGUUGCUCCAGAAAUCGGUGCGCCAACCGCAAGGAGGCAGCCGCUCAAGGAGUGACUGGUAACUGGGGUGAAGUCGUAACAAGGUAACCGUAGGGGAACCUGCGGUUGGAUCACCUCCUUUCUGGAGUCUUCGCACGACCUCGGUCGUCGCGACAGCUCGGUCAAUACUCGCUCUGUGUUCGCUAUCAGUUUUGGGAGACCGACCUCCCCGCAGUCCCGUAGCGAAUAAAACCUAUAGCUGGGUCGCAACGGUCUGGGGGAUUAGCUCAGCUGGGAGAGCGCGGGCUUUGCAAGCCUGAGGUCGAGGGUUCGAUCCCCUUAUCCUCCACAAAAUUCGAAGUAACCCCUCGGUACCAAGAGGGCAUUGACAACAGAAUAGUCGACGAAGCGCGAAUCAAGAUUGCGCCGAGCUCCUGAGCAUCUGGAGGCGGCGCAGUGAAGAGAUUCGCUGAGUCAAGGUAACCAACCCCCGCACAGGGGUUGCGUUACUGGGUGUCUCGAAAAGCGAACCUUGGCCUCGACCCCGUAGGCUGCUGGCAGUAAGCAGCAGCCGUAGGGCUGGUGGUCAAGCUAGUAAGGGCACUCGGUGGAUGCCUUGGCGCCAGGAGGCGAUGAAGGACGUGAUUAGCUGCGAUAAGCUACGGGGAGCCGCAAGCAGGCUUCGAUCCGAGGAUGC